AUGAUCGCUGGCGGCGUGCCUAAUACAUGCAAGUCGAGCGAACAGAUGAGGAGCUUGCUCCUCUGACGUUAGCGGCGGACGGGUGAGUAACACGUGGAUAACCUACCUAUAAGACUGGGAUAACUUCGGGAAACCGGAGCUAAUACCGGAUAAUAUAUUGAACCGCAUGGUUCAAUAGUGAAAGACGGUUUUGCUGUCACUUAUAGAUGGAUCCGCGCCGCAUUAGCUAGUUGGUAAGGUAACGGCUUACCAAGGCAACGAUGCGUAGCCGACCUGAGAGGGUGAUCGGCCACACUGGAACUGAGACACGGUCCAGACUCCUACGGGAGGCAGCAGUAGGGAAUCUUCCGCAAUGGGCGAAAGCCUGACGGAGCAACGCCGCGUGAGUGAUGAAGGUCUUCGGAUCGUAAAACUCUGUUAUUAGGGAAGAACAAAUGUGUAAGUAACUAUGCACGUCUUGACGGUACCUAAUCAGAAAGCCACGGCUAACUACGUG
rnacentral:rRNA from 1 species